AUUGAACGCUGGCGGCAUGCCUUACACAUGCAAGUCGAACGGCAGCACGGGGGGUAACCCCUGGUGGCGAGUGGCGAACGGGUGAGUAAUAUAUCGGAACAUGCCCUGUAGCGGGGGAUAACGCGUCGAAAGAUGUGCUAAUACCGCAUACGCUCUACGGAGGAAAGCGGGGGUCGCAAGACCUCGCACUAUAGGAGUGGCCGAUAUCGGAUUAGCUAGUUGGCGGGGUAAAAGCCCACCAAGGCGACGAUCCGUAGCUGGUCUGAGAGGAUGAUCAGCCACACUGGAACUGAGACACGGUCCAGACUCCUACGGGAGGCAGCAGUGGGGAAUUUUGGACAAUGGGCGCAAGCCUGAUCCAGCCAUGCCGCGUGAGUGAAGAAGGCCUUCGGGUUGUAAAGCUCUUUCGGCAGGAACGAAAUGGUUCGUGCUAAUACCACGGACUGAUGACGGUACCUGAAGAAGAAGCACCGGCUAACUACGUGCCAGCAGCCGCGGUAUACGUAGGGUGCAGGCGUUAAUCGGAAUACUGGGCGUAAAGCGUGCGCAGGCGG
rnacentral:rRNA from 1 species